rnacentral:rRNA from 1 species
CCUACGGGAGGCAGCAGUGGGGAAUAUUGCACAAUGGGGGAAACCCUGAUGCAGCGACGCCGCGUGAGUGAAGAAGUAUUUCGGUAUGUAAAGCUCUAUCAGCAGGGAAGAAAAUGACGGUACCUGAUUAAGAAGCCCCGGCUAACUACGUGCCAGCAGCCGCGGUAAUACGUAGGGGGCAAGCGUUAUCCGGAUUUACUGGGUGUAAAGGGAGCGUAGACGGCAGCACAAGUCUGGAGUGAAAUGCCGGGGCUUAACCCCGGAACUGCUUUGGAAACCGUGCAGCUAGAGUGCAGGAGAGGUAAGUGGAAUUCCUAGUGUAGCGGUGAAAUGCGUAGAUAUUAGGAGGAACACCAGUGGCGAAGGCGGGUUACUGGACUGUAACUGACGUUGAGGCUCGAAAGCGUGGGGAGCAAACAGGAUUAGAUACCCUAGUAGUC